GAUGAACGCUAGCUACAGGCUUAACACAUGCAAGUCGAGGGGAAACGAUAGAGAAAGCUUGCUUUUUCUAGGCGUCGACCGGCGCACGGGUGAGUAACGCGUAUCCAACCUGCCCAUCACUUGGGGAUAACCUUGCGAAAGUAAGACUAAUACCCAAUGAUAUCUCUAGAAGACAUCUGAAGGAGAUUAAAGAUUUAUCGGUGAUGGAUGGGGAUGCGGCUGAUUAGCUUGUUGGCGGGGCAACGGCCCACCAGGGCGACGAUCAGUAGGGGGUCGGAGAGGAAGGUCCCCCACAUUGGAACUGAGACACGGUCCAAACUCCUACGGGAGGCAGCAGUGAGGAAUAUUGGUCAAUGGGCGAGAGCCUGAACCAGCCAAGUAGCGUGCAGGAUGACGGCCCUAUGGGUUGUAACUGCUUUUAUAAGGGAAUAAAGUGAGACUCGUGAGGCUUUUUGCAUGUACCUUAUGAAUAAGGACCGGCUAAUUCCGUGCCAGCCGCCGCGGUAA
rnacentral:rRNA from 1 species